UGCAAACUUGCAGAUAUGCAGGUAGUGGCACAUGCUGACUGCUGGGUCUUCACUCUGAGGGUGAUUUUCUAAAAUGGAGCUGUGCUAACAGUGCAGCUUGCCCACCGAAUGAGAAGCCCCAUCUCCCAAGAUCAUAAAGCAAAGCUUGCCAAGAGAUCGUGGUGCGUUUUGUUGAAAGGCCUUUAAAGACUUGUGGGAUUUAUCUGUAGACUUCUGAGGACAAUAGAAAUAUUUUUAUUUUUUAACAAUUUUGCACUUCUGACUUCAGGUGGAAAAUAAAUUUGUAUUAGUCUGUUCAGGGGAUUGAGACUUGAAAAAUUUCAUAUCCUGAGAAGUUUUUUUUCCCCCAAGCGUAUACUUCAUGUUUAAAAUAUUUACUAGGAAAUACAUGUCCUCCAUUCAUUAAUAUAUUAUAGACUAAUUUAACAGGUGCGUUUCAGGAAAAUUCUUCCUAGUUUAAUAAGUAAGGUAAAAGUUUUAUUUUAUUUUAUUUUUUUUUUAGUGUUUAGUGCUUAUUCUCUACUUCAUGUUUAAGAUUAGCCCACAACUAUUUUCAGUCUCUUCUGUGGGCUAUUAGAAGAUAAACAAUAAAAUAAACAAAAGACAUCUUAGAAUGUUGUAUUGUUUUAAUCAGAAUUUGUUUUGGCUCUUGUCUUCUUUGAUGUCAAAAUAGAUAAAAUUGUCUGCGUCUAUGAAUUAUAAACCAUUAACCAUAGUUUUUAUUUUUUUGGUUUCAAACAAGUAAGGAUAAAAUUAUCUCUGUGGUAACUAAAAUACCUGCAAUUAACCCAGGAGAUGUUUCCCCAAGGAAUUAAAAGACUUCUCUGUGUGCCUUC
rnacentral:lncRNA from 1 species